CCUACGGGUGGCAGCAGUGAGGAAUAUUGGUCAAUGGACGCAAGUCUGAACCAGCCAUGCCGCGUGCAGGAAGACGGCCCUAUGAAUUGUAAACUGCUUUUGUACGAGGGUAAACGCACAUACGUGUAUCUGUCUGCAAGUACCGUACGAAUAAGGAUCGGCUAACUCCGUGCCAGCAGCCGCGGUAAUACGGAGGAUUCAAGCGUUAUCCGGAUUUAUUGGGUUUAAAGGGUGCGUAGGCGGGUGGAUAAGUUAGAGGUGAAAUCCCGCGGCUCAACCUCGGAAGUGCCUCUGAUACUGGUCGGCUAGAGUGUAGUAGAGGUAGGCGGAAUGUAUGGUGUAGCGGUGAAAUGCUUAGAUAUCACGCAGAACACCGAUUGCGAAGGCAGCUUACCGGGCUACUACUGACGCUGAGGCACGAAAGCGUGGGGAGCAAACAGGAUUAGAUACCCGAGUAGUC
rnacentral:rRNA from 1 species